rnacentral:ncRNA from 1 species
CCUCUAAUUCAGGAUCCAGAUUAUUUUUUCCACACAAAUGAACGAUUUGGUAACUCUUUGUUAAUUCAUCGAUGUAACUUCUAACCGUUUCAUUUAUUUUUCUUGCUCCUAAACUACCACCCAUAAUGAGCAAAACUGGCAGCUGACUAUGAAAUCCUAGCCAUUUUCUAGCU